UCAGCCGCCGCGGUAAUACGUAGGCAGCGAGCGUUGUUCGGAGUUACUGGGCGUAAAGAGUAUGUAGGCGGUUCAGCAAGUUUGGUGUGAAAUCUCCCGGCUUAACUGGGAGGGUGCGCCGAAAACUGCCGGGCUAGAGUGCGGGAGAGGAAAGCGGAAUUCCUGGUGUAGCGGUGAAAUGCGUAGAUAUCAGGAGGAACACCUGCGGUGUAGACGGCUUUCUGGACCGUAACUGACGCUGAGAUACGAAAGCGUGGGUAGCAAACAGGAUUAGAUACCCUGGUAGUCCACGCCCUAAACGAUGCACACUUGGUGUGGGCAGUUCAUUCUGUCCGUGCCGGAGUUAACGCGUUAAGUGUGCCGCCUGGGGAGUACGGUCGCAAGGCUGAAACUUAAAUAAAUUGACGG
rnacentral:rRNA from 1 species